UUGAUGCUUUCUUUUUUUUUAGGAAAGGGAGAGAGACACACGAUGACCUUCAGGCGCUCCCUGUGUGGUUCCACGGAAGAAAUGGAGCAUCGCGAGAAAGCCAAGCAUUUAACCGUGGGAAGGAUGCACCAUUGUAACUUCUGCAACUACAGCAGUCGAGUGCUGACUCACGUCAAGGACCAUGAGAGAAGGCACACGGGAGAGAAGCCUCAUUUGUGUCGAGUGUGCUCCAGGAAAUUCACGCAAACGAGUGCCUUGAACAGACAUCUCAAGACGGUCCACCGAGGCCGUAGGAAUUGUUUAAAUUCGCGCGGAGGAAUACGAGGGGGUCCGCGGCAAUGUGAUGCACCUGUGUGAGCAUCGUGGAGAAGCCCCACAGAUUCUCUGCCAGUGCAUUGGAGGAUUUGUGGUAGCCUCCAGGGCACGCAAACUGGGUGAACUGUUCAAUACUUGUGACAAUACAAUACAGUUUUGCAAUAUAUUUGUCCACGCAGCUCGCAAAACGUGGUGUUGAAAAGGUGAUGAUGAUUGGGGCGUGUAACAUUGCGUAUCCGUAGGGUUCUUUGUUUUCAGGUUAUACCCGAUUUUUCAUGAUAGUUCCCCCCGAACAAGUUUUCAAGAAUCGCGGACCUUCAACUUGUGAUUGUAGGUAAGCCGUCGGAAAAGUGAAUCAUAAUGUCAGCAAAGGGAGCUAUUUGUGUUAAACCUACUUGUCCUCCUUUUUUUAAUCCCCUCCCGCAGGAGAAAAGACAAACUUUUGUGGAGCUCGGACAUGUGUUUGAAUACCACGGCCAUUCGCUGCCCCAGUUCCGAGCGGGAAUAUCAAGGUUAUCGAUUCUCGUCCCAGUGUCACAGCCAGUGGCUUGUUUCAGAUAUGCCUUUCGUUUCACCCGAAAAUUCCCCGAUGACAUAUCAGACGGAGAUUGAAGCGCUUCAUUUCUUCCGGAGCUCUCUCGCGUAAAUAGCACCCGAUUUUUCGCUCCCAAAUUUGAAAAAUCAUAAAACCCGAAAACAGAGAACCCUACAUAUCCGGCAUGUCACAACUGACAUCCUUCGAGAUAUACCCAGGAUGUCGCACUGGCGGUCUUCAAUUAUCGUUGUCACCAGUGGCCAUUGAACAAGUAUGUAGCGCCACCGAGCAUCUAAUGCAGCAACUUCUGAAAUAGCGUUGGGCACAGGAUUCCCUGACACGCUUGGUGGCGCUAAGUGCAAGUUCAAUGCAGAGCCAUUGAUGGUGAGAGUUUGGCCAUUUUCUUAUCUUCUGCCGCCGUGAGAGGGUGGAGCCCGUUUCGAUGUUGGAACUGCCGUUGCAGCGCCUGAGAUCCCCGAAUCCAAGCAGAACCCUUCUGGAACGGAGCACUAACUGGAGAGUUUAUUGUGCCGCGAGAAACACUCGAUGGAGAUAUUUCUAAUACUGUAGGCAUUCUGUGGCUCCUAAUUUUUCUUAUUGUCUUUUCCUUCUGCCGUAAAAGGAAGUUUUUGAUGCAGAAAGAGAAACACUUGAUUGGCAGCAUGCAUGCAAGUUGACACCUUGGUGCUUAAGCCGAUACUUUCGAAGGUUGCUAACGGAUCUUAUCUAAUUAAUUAGCCACAUUGAAAAAAAGAAAGGCCAGUAACUUCAUGUUCACAUUCAGUUGGUUUGAUCUGUGGAGAGAGAAACGGUGCAUUCUUAAACGCCAGUUCAUAAAUAGUAUGACAAUCGUCGUGGGAGAAAACUUGCGACACAAUCACAUUUAGUGAACAUAUUUGCGCGAUAUACGGCCUGUUUUACCUAAGGUGACAAAAAAAUUCGAACUGGUGACGUACUCGCCAGACGAUUGUUGGACCUUCUGGAAACUUUUGCCACCAUUGAAGGAGGCUUUGGACAAUUUUUAAUUCUGGGACAUUUAUUUUUGUCAAUUGAACUUUGAAAAUUGCCAAGCGAACGUCACCUUUUUUGUACAGUAAUACGAAAUCCUCCGCAGACAACCACAGAACCAACCAAAACUAUGCGCAGUAUCGCGACAGGAAUAGUUUAAAAAAAUAGUAAAAAUUGGGCUUUAGCCCCGCCUGUUUGAUUGUCGCAAAGAAAAGCGCGCAGUAUUUGCGGGGAGAGGAGGGCGUGUUCUUCCUCUUGUUUUACCUUUCUUUGCGCCGCGUUGACCUUGAUGCUGGUGACAACUGACUUAUCGCAAAGAAUCCAAAACAAAUGAAGGCGGUGACACUUUCUUGUCUAGACGCAGAUUUUGCGCGCGCUUCAAUCAAGCACGAAAAUCAAGAAGGCGGGGCUAAAUCGUAAUUUUAAAAAAAAUUUUUUCGAGUAGUUCUGUCGUGAUGCUGCGCGUAGUUUCUGUUGGGCCUGCAGUUAUCCGUGGAGGACACGAUAUUUCUGUAAAAAAAGAAGUAAGGUUCGCUGGAAAAAAAUACGUUAUAAGAAAAUUAAAAAUUGUCCAAAGUGUCCAGUUGUCCUCAAUAGUGGCAAAAGUUUCCAGAAGAUAAAUGCCGAAAGUCCGACAAUCCUCCAGCGAGUUUCUUCGCCAGUUAUAAUUUUUUUGUCACCUUAGGUGAAGCAUCCUGUAUACUGACUCGGUUAAAUGUGGAUUAUAUAAACGACCAGGCCAAAUGAUAUGGUGAGACGGCCAUUCAAAAAUUUAUUCCGCUCAUUUUUUAUUUUCGCUUCAAGAGGACAAACAUUAUCUUGCAUCACACAUUGUCUCUUCAUGUUGAACACUUGGAACGUAGUGUGUGUAUGUUAUGGUACCUGAACAGCACACCUGCUCACUCGACAUGCAUCCACACAGUGCAGUCGUAGAAAAGUAGAUGAUGAUUACUGCUUUGAUCCAGCAUCUUUGACUACGUUGGAAUUGUGCAUGUAGCCUCGUGGUUUAGGGUUAAAUGCCGUAAAACCAGUUUUUAGGUCACUACCACCACCUGGUAAAGCCGGAAACAACCAGAGAACCAAAGUCGACAAAGUGCAAACUCGGUCACAUGUGCAGGCAGCCAGGAGGCGCCAGCUCUCUUCCACGGAAACGAGGCGUCCGGCGAUCACCUCGAGGGGCAUCGCAGGCACUUCGCCAAGGAGCAUCACAACAAGCGCUUCACCAGGGGACGGAUACACCUGUGUCGCUUCUGCCCCUACUCAAGCGACAUCACCACCAACGUCCGCGCCCACGAGAGAACGCACACCGGGGAAAAGCCGUACAUGUGUUCCGUGUGCUCCAAGGGUUUCACCCAGAGGGGGAACCUGGACACGCACAUCAGGACGAUCCACGGCGGACGGAAGAGCCGGUCGGGCCGAGGCCGGGCCGCGGUACGGCCGGACCACGAGAGGGAGGAGUCGGCCGAGAGGCCCAACAUCUGCGACCGCUGCGGAAAAGCGUUUGCGACGCAGUGGGGUCUUCAGAGACAUUUGCUCUGCCACUGAUAGCGUUUCGCAUUCUCUCGUCGGUUCACACGUGACGUGACGUUGGACGAGACGUUGAACUGUUCGUGAAAGUGAUGUGCUACUCGCGGAAUCUCCACUAGUCAAGUAUUUUUAGGGUGCGGUCGUUAGGGAGGAAUAAAUGUUGCGUGAAAGAA